ensembl:lncRNA
GGUCCCAGUCUCGAACUGGUGUCACUGGGAGAGCCCCAGUCCCAAACUGGGAGGGUCUGAGGUUCAAACUGGGAGCACUGGGAGGGUCCCAGUCCCAAACUGGGAGGGUCCAAGGCUCAAACUGGGAGCACUGGGAGGGUCCCAGUCCCAAACUGGGAGCACUGGGAAGGUCUCAGUCCCAAACUGGGAGCGUCCCAGUCCCAAACUGGGAGCACUGGAGGGUCCCAAUCCCAGACUGGGAGCACUGGGAGGGUCCCAGUCCCAGACUGGUGUCACUGGGGUGUCACUGGGAGGGUCCCAGUCUCAAACUGGGAGGGUGCCAGGUUCAAACUGGGAGCACUGGGAGGGUUCCAGUCCCAAACUGGGAGGGUCCAAGGUUCAAACUGGGAGAGUCCCAGUCCCAGACUGGUGUCACAGGGGUGUCACUGGUGUCACUGGUCCGUUACUGGUGUCACUGGUGCUGUCCCUGGCUCUGUCCAUGGCUCUGUUACUGGUGUUACUGGUGUCACUGGUGUGUCACUGGUGUUACUGGUGUUACUGGUGUCACUGGUCCGUUACUGGUGUCACUGGUGCUGUCCCUGUCCCUAUCCCUGUCCCUGGUGUCAACUGGUGUCACUGGUGUCACUGGUCCGUUACUGGUGUCACUGGUGCUGUCCCUGCUGUCCCUGUCCCUGGUGUCACUGGUGCCGUUACUGGUGUCACUGAUGUCACUGAUGUUACUGGUGUUACUGGUGUUACUGGUGUUACUGGUGUCCCUGUCCCUGGCUGUGUCACUGGUGUCACUGGUGUCACUGGUGCCGUUACUGGUGUUACUGGUGUGUUACUGGUGCUGUCCCUGUCCCUGUCCCUGUCCCUGGCUGUGUCACUGGUGUGUCCCUGCUGUCCCUGGCCCUGUCCCUGUCCCUGGUGUUACUGGUCCAUUACUGGUGUCACUGGUGUCCCUGUCCCUGUCCCUGCUGUCCCUGUCCCUGUCCCUGCUGUCCCUGGUGUCACUGGUCCGUUACUGGUGCCGUUACUGGUGUUACUGGUGCUGUCCCUGCUGUCCCUGGCUCUGUCCAUGGCUCUGUUACUGGUGUUACUGGUGUUACUGGUCCGUUACUGGUGUCACUGGUGCUGUCCCUGUCCCUGCUGUCCCUGUCCCUGUCCCUGGUGUUACUGGUGUUACUGGUGCCGUUACUGGUGUCACUGGUGUUACUGGUGCUGUCCCUGUCCCUGUCCCUGGCCGAGCCGCGCGGCCUCGCUGCGGAUCAGCGCGAUCAGUUCGUGGUUGAUGAGGAACACGAAGCGCAGGCUGGCGAUCUGGGGGGGCACGGCC